UUUUGUUUAGCAUGCUUGGCCUAACCUUACUUUGGUCUUAUAUGAGGAUUGGUCUUGGUCCAAAGUCAUGGUGUUGUUCAUGUGAUUGUUAAUGCACAUAUGGUCUUGGUCAUCUGAACAACCAAGCUUCUUGUGUUUCAAGCCACUUGCUAGUCAUGUUAUUGGUUCAUGGAUACUAUGUCAAAACCCUGACCUUAUGGUCUCAUUUCAUGGCCUUGUUCAUGUGCAUUAUCAGUCAAGUUAUUUUUCAAAAGUCAAACAUUCAAGUCAU
rnacentral:lncRNA from 1 species